GAGAACAUGAGUGACCCAGAACCCUGCAGAAUGAAACCUGAAGAUACUGAAGAGAAAACUGGCCUGAUGAUAAUUAAUGAAGAAAGA